CUAAGAGCUUCUCUAGAUCCACAGCGCAAGUGAACAGCAGCUGUGAGAUGAUGGCAGGCACAUGGCCGGACAAAGCUUUCAAACAAAGGCACAAUUUCAUCUGAGAAGAUGGAGCCUGCAGUCAUGGCACAGACACUUUGCCAUCAACAGAGAAAACAGGAAAACGCUCCGUUUGGCCUUCUGUGUUGUUGUUUUUUUCUUUUAAAUACUGUUUUUACUAUUAGCAAUGAUACAGAUUACCUGAUGAUUUUCUUUAUGUUUUUCAGGAAAGCCCAAACUCACCAAUAGUAAAUGAAAGCCUUCUGUGAAUAAAAUCCUGGAGAAAACUGUACUGCAACUAAAUUACAUGCUGGAUGAGCUUUGGCAAUGAAUCUCACAAAGUUCAUGAAAUUAUGACACACAGCUUCAAAAGGAACCAUGAAAAGUGAAGAAAGACCUGGUACUAAUUCACGCCACACUGUGCUACACAGUGCUCCUGGCUGCAUCGCACCUGUUGAUGUUUAUGUGCCAAGGUACAUUACGCCAACUGCAAUGGCAAGGAAGGUACGGCAGCAACUAAGCCUGCAAACAGGACAGCUGCAUCUCAGGGACAACUGCUCUCCAGCACUGGGCCAGGAACCUGCUUCGACUGCUGGAGCAAAAGUAGAGGAGGUGUACACGUGUGGAAGCUUUGCACCUUGCAUGGUCACUGCAGCCCACCAGCCUGCACACAGAGGUGAAUGCGUCGUGAUCCGUGUCAUAGGAACCUCUCACUGAGUGAGAAGCUGUCAUUGCAGAUGGGCAGCACAGUCCACUGCCUAAUUUCCUGAUGCUCAAGGAGUGACCUGACUGAGCCAGCAGAGUUCUUAAUACUUCACCACCUUGACGUGCAGGGAGAGAAUCAGGCGUCUAGUUUGUAAAUGUGGUUAUGUUGGUUUUUUUUUUAACUGUUUAAUGUAAGAGACAGAACAGCAGCGCUGUUUCUGCUCUCCUUUUGUGGUCGCAGUAGGGCUAAGCUGGCAACACCUGGGGAAAAUGGGUGUAUUCCUCUGUCACCUCUGUGUGCAGGUAACAGAAUAGUUAUUUCACUGCUGUUAGCUCCAUAGUUGUCCUUAACCAUGCAGGAAGCUGCAUGAGAGGUGGAAACUUAUCAGAUUGCAAGGUAGCUAGAUGCACUCUAUUCACUUUCAGGUUUGUUACAUAAUGUUGAGCAACCCCAGCAGCAAGGAGCUGGGGUCUCACAAGGAGCUGGGGGGCACACAGCCAGGACAGCUGACCCCUGACCAAAGGGAUGUCCCAUACCAUAUGGUGUCAUGUUCAGCAGUGAAACAGGAGGAGUCUGCUGGGAGGGCUGCUGCUGGCUGAGCAUCCAUCAGUGAGUGGUGAGCAAUUGCAUUGUGCGUCACUUGUGUUGUGUA
rnacentral:lncRNA from 1 species